rnacentral:SRP_RNA from 1 species
CUGUGCUAAUCGGGGAGUUAGUGGUGCCCUGUCGCCUGCAAUCCACUAUAGCAGGGAGUAUCAGUCCUAAUAGGCGUAGUUUAUGGCAAGCAGCCUGUAGCAAGUGAUGAUGAUGUCGGGGUCUUAUGCAACGAGACGUCGUGAACCAUGUCAGGACCUGACGGUAGCAGCAUUAAGCGAAUAGUAGCGUGUGCCAUAGGGUAGCUUCGGCGGAGUAGGCUACUACAGUAGCGUUGCGGUAGGUUGCGUCAACCUAGGACGGCACAG